rnacentral:rRNA from 1 species
GACGAACGCUGGCGGCGUGCUUAACACAUGCAAGUCGAACGGCAAGGCCCUGCUUUCGUGGGGUUCUCGAGUGGCAAACGCGUGCGUGACACGUGUGUAUCCUGCCCUUCUUUUUGGUAUGACUUCAGGAAGCUGGGGCUACUCCAGUAUCGCAGACCAUGCUGCAUGGUGAGGGUUGGAUCUUUUCGGCGGUUGUGGAUGGACGAGCGGCUGACCAGCUUGUUGGUGGGGUAGUGGCAUACCAAGGCAUUGACGGGUAGGCGGCCUGAGAGCGUGGCCGGCGACAUUGGGACUGAGAGAGGGCGCAGACUCGUAUGGGAGGCAGCAGGGGGGAACAUUGCACAAUGGGCGCAAGUCUGAGGAAGCGACGCCGCGGGCGUGAUGACGGCCUGCGGGGUGUAAACCGCAGUCGCCUGUGACGAAGCGGUAGUGACGGUAAUGGGUGAAGAAGCACCGGCUAACUACGUG